CAAAAGUCCCUGAACUCUCAAGCGAAUCCGCAAUCAAAUAUUCUGCCCAUGCGGGGAAGGAUGAGAAGCUUCGACUAAGGUUCGGCUCGAGCGUCAGCGAGAGAGCGUUGCCGCAGGCAACGACCCGAAGGGCGAAGCGCGCAGCGCUGAGUAAUCCUUCCCCCACCACCA
rnacentral:sRNA from 6 species